CUCUCUCCCUCCCUCCCUCCCGGCACACCCUGCCAGAGCCUCACUGCUGGGCUCUUCCAUUUGUGUUUCCUCCUCCUCCCUCUUCUCUCCCCUCGUGUGCUUGUGUGGAUGUGACUUGACCCUGCCUGCUGGAGCCAGGCACAAACUAGAGCCUAGUCCUCCUCUCCAGGGACUGGAGGCUGUGGAGGAAGCACUGUCUCCCAGCUGGCCUGGCUUCAGACUCUCAGAAGGUGUUCCUCCCAUGGUCGCCAAUUGACUCACCAAUUAGGCAGUGACUGAGAAACAGCCGCAUGCAGGAUUCCUCCAAGAGACUAGCCUGGAUGGGACAGCCUGCAGCCUUGAAAGAAGAGCAGUCUAUGACUUUACCACAGAAGGAUACCCCAGCCUAAGACUCCUACUUCUGUUUUUAGCCAGUGUUUUUCAGGACUCUUGAUUAUAUAUUGGUCACAGUCUGUUUCUUAUUCUUCAUCUUCAACAUCUGAAUUGAGAGCACUCCAGCUUACUGGACCAUUGUAUUCACCCACACAGCAGCAGCAUAUCAUGACUGGACCCAUAGGCACCACUGCACUGAGAGCUCCUAGAAGCCUGAGCCUGACUCCCCAGCUCCCUAGCCCCGCCCUCCACCCAGCUUCUGGGCAUGCCAUGUAGACCAAAGCGUCUUUUUCUCUUCCCACACACUUUUUAUCCCUUGA
rnacentral:lncRNA from 1 species